CCUACUCAUCACUACUAACCACCAGGGCUGGCAGUGUCGUCCCCUCCCCCCCCUUCAUCAAAGGUAAGAAGAAGGGUGGGGGGACAUGAGUCUUUAAAAAUAUAUUUCUUUUAAAUAAAAAUAACCAAAUUCACUUAUCCCUAUGCAUCUCCCCCUCCUUCCCCCCACCACACACACAGCUCCCCUCACAUACACACACAGCACUCCUCACACACACACACACACACACAAAGCACCCCUCAUCCACAGCACCCUUCUAACACAUAUUGCAAUCUUUACAUACACACAUUGCUCCUCAUAUACACACACAGCACCCCUCACACACACAGCACCUCUCACAUACACAAAGAGCACCCCUCACACACAUAUUGCACCCUUCACAUACACACAUUGCACCCCUCACACACUCAGUGCACCCUUCACAUACACACAUUGCAUACCUCACAUACACAAGGAGCACCAAACAACCUCUCACACACAGCAACCCUCACACACACACACACACACACACACACAGCACCCUUCAAACACAGCACACCUAAUACAUACAGCACACCCCCCCACACACACACAAACACAUCACCCAUCACACACACUUACCCCCUCACACAGUGAACACCUUACACACACAGAGCACCCCUCACACACACACAUCACCCCUCACACUCGUACAGCAUACCUAACACACAAACAGCACCCCUCACAUGUAUACAUACUGCACACCUCACAUACACACAAAGCACCCCUCAGAUACACAGCACCCUCACACCCAGCACCCUUCAUAUACACUACAUUACUUACACACAGCACACCUCACACACACACACACACACACACUGCACUUCUCACACACUGUACUACUACUCACAUAAACACACACUGCACCUCUCACAUACCCACUGCACCAUCACACACACACACACACUGCACUCCCCACACACACAGCACCACUCGCAGAAACACUGCACCCCUCACACAUGCACAGCACCCCUCACACACACAAAACUGCACCCCUCACUGCUGUCUGUAUGUGUGUAUUCUGCAAUGUGUGUGUGUGUUCAGCAGUCUGUGUGUGCAUAUUCAGCAGUAUGUGCUUGCAUUCAGCAGUCUGUGCA